rnacentral:rRNA from 1 species
AUUGAACGCUGGCGGCAGGCCUAACACAUGCAAGUCGAGCGGUAACACAGGGAGCUUGCUCCUGGGUGACGAGCGGCGGACGGGUGAGUAAUGUCUGGGAAACUGCCUGAUGGAGGGGGAUAACUACUGGAAACGGUAGCUAAUACCGCAUAACGUCGCAAGACCAAAGAGGGGGACCUUCGGGCCUCUUGCCAUCAGAUGUGCCCAGAUGGGAUUAGCUAGUAGGUGGGGUAACGGCUCACCUAGGCGACGAUCCCUAGCUGGUCUGAGAGGAUGACCAGCCACACGGGAAAUGAGGAACGGUCCAGACUCCUAGGGGAGGCAGCAGUGGGGAAUAUUGCACAAGGGGCGCAAGCCUGAUGCAGCCAGGCCGCGUGUAUGAAGAAGGCCUUCGGGUUGUAAAGUACUUUCAGCGGGGAGGAAGGCGAUAAGGUUAAUAACCUUGUCGAUUGACGUUACCCGCAGAAGAAGCACCGGCUAACUCCGUGCCAGCCGCCGCCGUAA